ensembl:lincRNA
GUCCACAUCAUCACUCAGUUCUUGUCCCUCUGCACAGCGCGUUGUGACACUUGUCAACAAGCAGUUUAUAUUUUCAAUGUUGUAUUUAAUUCUUAACAAGGUGGUUAAGCACUGAAUUGCACAUUUAAUCAAACUUGAUUACAUUUUCCCUUUCAGGAUUAACUUGAAAAGGCAAAGGUGUUGAGUCAGUUGUGAAUAAUUUCUGACUGUAAAUAUUGUCACUGUAACUGAACCUCCUGCAUUGUCUUUCCUUAUUCACCCCGCCCAGUGUCUUCCAACUCCAACUUCUCAGAAGUCACCCUGGCGGGUUUAGCCAGUAAAGAAAACUUCAGCAACGUCAGCCUGCGGAGCGUCAACCUGACGGAACAGAACUCUAACAACAGCGCUGUGCCCUACAAGAGGCUGAUGCUGUUGCAGAUUAAAGGAAGAAGACACGUGCAGACCAGGCUGGUGGAACCUCGAGCUUCGGCACUCAACAGUGGGGACUGCUUCCUCCUGCUCUCUCCCCACUGCUGCUUCCUGUGGGUAGGAGAGUUUGCAAACGUCAUAGAAAAGGCAAAGGCCUCAGAACUUGCAACUUUAAUUCAGACAAAGAGGGAACUUGGUUGUAGAGCUACUUAUAUUCAAACCAUCGAAGAAGGAAUUUUAAUAUAACACACUCAUGCAGCCAAAGACUUCUGGAAGCUUCUGGGUGGCCAAACCAGUUACCAGUGUAAAGAGAUUGACAAGACUUGAGUCUCCUUUCUUCUCCCUUAGCUCAUUCUUCUAAACCAGCUACUUUGCAACGUAAAAUGUGAUGCCCUCCUGUUGUUCUUAUCCCCAAGCUGCUGGAGACCCAAAAGAAGAUGAACUCUAUGAAGCAGCCAUAAUAGAAACUAACUGCAUUUACCGUCUCAUGGACGACAAACUUGUUCCUGAUGACGACUACUGGGGGAAAAUUCCAAAGUGCUCCCUUCUGCAACCCAAAGAGGUACUGGUGUUUGAUUUUGGUAGUGAAGUUUACGUAUGGCAUGGGAAAGAAGUCACAUUAGCACAACGAAAAAUAGCAUUUCAGCUGGCAAAGCACUUAUGGAAUGGAACCUUUGACUAUGAGAACUGUGACAUCAAUCCCCUGGAUCCUGGAGAAUGCAAUCCGCUUAUCCCCAGAAAAGGACAGGGGCGGCCCGACUGGGCGAUAUUUGGGAGACUUACUGAACACAAUGAGACGAUUUUGUUCAAAGAGAAGUUUCUGGAUUGGACGGAACUGAAGAGACCGAAUGAGAAGAACCCCGGGGAACUUGCCCAGCACAAGGAAGACCUCAGGGCUGAUGUCAAGCCGUACGAUGUGACACGGAUGGUGUCCAUGCCCCAGACGACAGCAGGCACCAUCCUGGACGGGGUGAACGUCGGCCGUGGCUAUGGCCUGGUGGAAGGACAUGACAGGAGGCAGUUUGAGAUCACCAGCGUCUCCGUGGAUGUCUGGCACAUCCUAGAAUUCGACUAUAGCAGGCUCCCCAAACAGAGCAUCGGGCAGUUCCAUGAGGGGGAUGCCUAUGUGGUCAAGUGGAAGUUCAUGGUGAGCACAGCAGUGGGAAGUCGCCAGAAGGGAGAGCACUCGGUGAGGGCGGCUGGCAAAGAGAAGUGCGUCUACUUCUUCUGGCAAGGCCGGCACUCCACAGUGAGUGAGAAGGGCACGUCGGCGCUGAUGACGGUGGAGCUGGACGAGGAAAGGGGGGCCCAGGUCCAGGUUCUCCAGGGAAAGGAGCCCCCCUGUUUCCUGCAGUGUUUUCAGGGGGGGAUGGUGGUGCACUCCGGGAGGCGGGAAGAGGAAGAAGAAAAUGUGCAAAGUGAAUGGCGGCUGUACUGCGUGCGCGGAGAGGUGCCCGUGGAAGGGAAUUUGCUGGAAGUGGCCUGUCACUGUAGCAGCCUGAGGUCCAGGACUUCCAUGGUGGUGCUCAACGUCAACAAGGCCCUCAUCUACCUGUGGCACGGAUGCAAAGCCCAGGCCCACACGAAGGAGGUCGGAAGGACCGCCGCGAACAAGAUCAAGGAACAAUGCCCUCUGGAAGCAGGACUGCAUAGUAGCAGCAAAGUCACAAUACACGAGUGUGAUGAAGGCUCCGAGCCACUCGGAUUCUGGGACGCCUUGGGAAGGAGAGACAGGAAAGCCUAUGAUUGCAUGCUUCAAGAUCCUGGAAGUUUUAACUUCGCACCCCGCCUGUUCAUCCUCAGCAGCUCCUCUGGGGAUUUCGCAGCCACGGAGUUUGUGUAUCCUGCCCGAGCCCCCUCUGUGGUCAGUUCCAUGCCCUUUCUGCAGGAAGAUCUGUACAGUGCACCCCAGCCAGCGCUUUUCCUUGUUGACAAUCACCACGAGGUGUACCUCUGGCAAGGCUGGUGGCCCAUUGAGAACAAGAUCACUGGUUCUGCUCGCAUCCGCUGGGCCUCCGACCGGAAGAGUGCAAUGGAGACUGUGCUCCAGUACUGCAAAGGUGAGGCUCCCUCUAACGCGCCUGCAGCACAGAACAGAUAG